rnacentral:rRNA from 1 species
CGAUCUGGCUCAGGAUGAACGCUGGCGGCGUGCCUAACACAUGCAAGUCGAGCGGAGUCAUGCGCAGAUUCUUCGGAUGAUAUGCAUGACUUAGCGGCGGAUGGGUGAGUAACACGUGGGUAACCUGCCCUGCAUUGGGGGAUAACAGCUGGAAACGGCUGUUAAUACCGCAUAUGCGCACGGGGCCGCAUGGCCCUGUGCGGAAAGAUUCCAUCGAUGCAGGAUGGGCCCGCGCCGGAUUAACUUGUUGGCAGGGUAAAGGCCUACCAAGGUGAUGAUCCGUAGCCCGGCCUGAGAGGGCGACCGGCUACAUUGGGACUGAGACACGGCCCAAACUCCUACGGGAGGCAGCAGUGGGGAAUAUUGCACAAUGGGCGCAAGCCCUGAUGCAGCGACGCCGCGUGAAGGAAGACGUAUUUCGGUAUGUAAACUUCUAUCAGCGGGGAAGAAGAUGACGGUACCCGACUAAGAAGCCCCGGCUAACUACGUGCCAGCCGCCGC